rnacentral:rRNA from 1 species
AACGAACGCUGGCGGCAUGCCUAACACAUGCAAGUCGAACGAACCCUUCGGGGUUAGUGGCGCACGGGUGCGUAACACGUGGAAUCUGCCCUUUGCUUCGGAAUAACAGUUAGAAAUGACUGCUAAUACCGGAUGAUGUCGUAAGACCAAAGAUUUAUCGGCAAAGGAUGAGCCCGCGUAGGAUUAGGUAGUUGGUGGGGUAAAGGCCUACCAAGCCAACGAUCCUUAGCUGGUCUGAGAGGAUGAUCAGCCACACUGGGACUGAGACACGGCCCAGACUCCUACGGGAGGCAGCAGUGGGGAAUAUUGGACAAUGGGCGAAAGCCUGAUCCAGCAAUGCCGCGUGAGUGAUGAAGGCC